GGUUCCUUUUCCUAGCCCACCGCGCCCUUCGAGAGAAGCUGUUGCAGGCCGCGGGCGGCCGUGCCGGAUUGCGCGCUGCUCGCAGGGGCCAGGACUCCCAGGACAGCCUGCUUCGGCCCCAUGCCGCCCGACAGACGGCUGUGGGACGCAAGGACGAAAGCUUGUUCGUAUCCCCUUUCGAAGCUCGUUACUGCUCGCUCGGGCGGUGCUCUGUGCUGUCCCCCCUUCCCCAGCGCGCAGAGGAAAGAAGGGUGCAAUCGUACAACUGCUUCAUCUGUCAAGAUUACAGGCUUUUGAAGGCAGAGACUUUCCUAUAUCUCAGGCAGCGCUCCUUACGCUUAAGUCCCAUCCGUUCAAGGUGGAGCAUCGUUGCUAACGUCCCACAGUCUCAUGCCUGAAGUUCGGGCAUCUCCGUUCUCAGCAGGGAUCCUGGGGAAUUUUCCAAGGCACAAAUUGCUCCUAGGCUGACUAUUAUGUGACCAUCUUCAGCACCUUUCACGUCACCAGUGAAUUUGACCUGUUUUGCUUGUAUAGUUCCAUAAUCCAUCAAAAGCAUAAUGAGAAAUUAAAGUCUUGAAACUGAACUAA